AGUGAACGCUGGCGGUAGGCCUAACACAUGCAAGUCGAACGGCAGCACAGUAAGAGCUUGCUCCUACGGGUGGCGAGUGGCGGACGGGUGAGGAAUACAUCGGAAUCUACUUUUUCGUGGGGGAUAACGUAGGGAAACUUACGCUAAUACCGCAUACGACCUACGGGUGAAAGCAGGGGAUCUUCGGACCUUGCGCGAUUGAAUGAGCCGAUGUCGGAUUAGCUAGUUGGCGGGGUAAAGGCCCACCAAGGCGACGAUCCGUAGCUGGUCUGAGAGGAUGAUCAGCCACACGGGAAUGGGGAAACGGCCCAGAACCCAACGGGAGCAAGAAGUGGGAAAAAUAGGCAAUUGGGGGAAGGCUGAUCCAACCCAGACGGCGUGGUUGAGGAGGGCUUCCGGGUGUUAAAGCCCUUUGGUUGGGAAAGAAAAGAACCAGUUUAUACCCCGGUGGUUUGGCGGUACCCAAAGGAAAAGCACCGGCUAACUUCGUG
rnacentral:rRNA from 1 species